GGGAAUUCUGCUUUUCAAUAUAUAUUAGCAAAGUUCUUUACAAAUACAGUGUAAUUAGAAUGACAUAAAAUUACUAGCGACCUUUCGGGGCAACCCUGCAUAACCAUUGACAUGGAAAUGUUAAAAUCAUAUAAAAGUAAUCAAAAGCAAAUAGAGAAGUGUUCUUAUUUUAGGAACAUGUUCAGUUUGUGUUUAACAAGUUCAAGAUAUAAAUGUAUUACUGCUUUCUUGUCUUGUUUUGUUUUUUGUUUAUGUUAGAUUCUGUAAUCUUGUUUCCAUGGCCUCACGGAUCAGAGAUGAACUAAUGAAAAUGUUGGGUUUGUGACAUAAAUCAUCAGUGUAUGUAAAAUAAC